rnacentral:rRNA from 1 species
AGAGUUUGAUCAUGGCUCAGAUUGAACGCUGGCGGCAGGCCUAACACAUGCAAGUCGAACGGUAACAGGAAGAAGCUUGCUUCUUUGCUGACGAGUGGCGGACGGGUGAGUAAUGUCUGGGAAACUGCCUGAUGGAGGGGGAUAACUACUGGAAACGGUAGCUAAUACCGCAUAACGUCGCAAGACCAAAGAGGGGGACCUUCGGGCCUCUUGCCAUCGGAUGUGCCCAGAUGGGAUUAGCUAGUAGGUGGGGUAACGGCUCACCUAGGCGACGAUCCCUAGCUGGUCUGAGAGGAUGACCAGCCACACUGGAACUGAGACACGGUCCAGACUCCUACGGGAGGCAGCAGUGGGGAAUAUUGCACAAUGGGCGUAAGCCUGAUGCAGCCAUGCCGCGUGUAUGAAGAAGGCCUUCGGGUUGUAAAGUACUUUCAGCGGGGAGGAAGGGAGUAAAGUUAAUACCUUUGCUCAUUGACGUUACCCGCAGAAGAAGCACCGGCUAACUCCGUGCCAGCAGCCGCGGUAAUACGGAGGGUGCAAGCGUUAAUCGGAAUUACUGGGCGUAAAGCGCACGCAGGCGGUUUGUUAAGUCAGAUGUGAAAUCCCCGGGCUCAACCUGGGAACUGCAUCUGAUACUGGCAAGCUUGAGUCUCGUAGAGGGGGGUAGAAUUCCAGGUGUAGCGGUGAAAUGCGUAGAGAUCUGGAGGAAUACCGGUGGCGAAGGCGGCCCCCUGGACGAAGACUGACGCUCAGGUGCGAAAGCGUGGGGAGCAAACAGGAUUAGGUACCCUGGUAGUCCACGCCGUAAACGAUGUCGACUUGGAGGUUGUGCCCUUGAGGCGUGGCUUCCGGAGCUAACGCGUUAAGUCGACCGCCUGGGGAGUACGGCCGCAAGGUUAAAACUCAAAUGAAUUGACGGGGGCCCGCACAAGCGGUGGAGCAUGUGGUUUAAUUCGAUGCAACGCGAAGAACCUUACCUGGUCUUGACAUCCACGGAAGUUUUCAGAGAUGAGAAUGUGCCUUCGGGAACCGUGAGACAGGUGCUGCAUGGCUGUCGUCAGCUCGUGUUGUGAAAUGUUGGGUUAAGUCCCGCAACGAGCGCAACCCUUAUCCUUUGUUGCCAGCGGUCCGGCCGGGAACUCAAAGGAGACUGCCAGUGAUAAACUGGAGGAAGGUGGGGAUGACGUCAAGUCAUCAUGGCCCUUACGACCAGGGCUACACACGUGCUACAAUGGCGCAUACAAAGAGAAGCGACCUCGCGAGAGCAAGCGGACCUCAUAAAGUGCGUCGUAGUCCGGAUUGGAGUCUGCAACUCGACUCCAUGAAGUCGGAAUCGCUAGUAAUCGUGGAUCAGAAUGCCACGGUGAAUACGUUCCCGGGCCUUGUACACACCGCCCGUCACACCAUGGGAGUGGGUUGCAAAAGAAGUAGGUAGCUUAACCUUCGGGAGGGCGCUUACCACUUUGUGAUUCAUGACUGGGGUGAAGUCGUAACAAGGUAACCGUAGGGGACCUGCGGUUG